rnacentral:lncRNA from 1 species
UUGUCUACAUUUGGUCGGCAUAAACACUUCUGAAAAAUGGGCUGCAGCUGAUGCCUUUUAGUUUAGCUCCCUUUAAUGGGAAUUUAUAAAAUGACUCUUACUAUGCGGAACACAUGUUCUAAGUAUUCAGUUACUUGAUGGAUUGAAACAACCUUUCUUGUCUCUUGGGUUAAACUACAGAUUUUUAGAAACUGUCUAAAUACAUAUUUACUUGAUUCAUUCUGAUCUCUUGGGUGAAGAAUCCUUUUUCCAAAGAAGUGGCUUUACAUGCAAAACAAGACAAUUAAA